rnacentral:rRNA from 1 species
AUGGUGGCUUUCAGAAGAUACAUUGAGAGCAAAGGUGAACUUAAGGGACUUGAUUAUGAAUUUGACGAGCUUGUCCAUCAAUGUUUCCAUGUGGAGCAUUAUUUGAAGACGUUUUAUCACUUCAACUUUACUGUCAAGACAAAGAAGCCUGGCUCAGCUGAUUGGACAUCGGCUAUGUACUUCGCUCAGGUCAAAUCGAUAUGCAUGAUAAAACGCUAUGUCUGUUAUCCUUUGGAGCAAGAUCAAUAUGGUGAAUGUUAUGCAUGUGAGAACCAAGGAAUGGGUGAAUUGAGGCACCCAUUAGAAGGGAUAUACGAUAUGGGCAGGGAAGAUAUACAAUUUCCCUUCUAUUAUCAGGACAGUGACUCUGAUGAAUUCGAUGCAACAACGGGAGGGAGUGAAUCCUCUGAUGAGGAUAUGAGCUGA